GAUGAACGCUGGCGGCGUGCCUAAUACAUGCAAGUCGAGCGAACGGACGAGAAGCUUGCUUUUCUGAUGUUAGCGGCGGACGUGUGAGUAACACGUGGAUAACCUACCUAUAAGACUGGGAUAACUUCGGGAAACCGGAGCUAAUACCGGAUAAUAUUUUGAACCGCAUGGUUCAAAAGUGAAAGACGGUCUUGCUGUCACUAAUAGAUGGAUCCGCGCUGCAUUAGCUAGUUGGUAAGGUAACGGCUUACGAAGGCAACCAUGCAUAGCCGAACUGUGAGAGUGUUCGGCCACAGUGGAACGGAAACGGAAACAAGACUCCUACGGUAAGGGACAGUAGGCUACCUUCCGCAGUGGGCGGAAGCCUGACGGAGCAACGGCGCGUGUGAGAUUACAAUCUUCGGAUCGUAAAACUCUGUUAUUAGUGAGGAACAUAUGUGUAAGUAACUGUGCACAUCUUGACGGUACCUAAUCAGAAAGCAACGGCUAACUACGUG
rnacentral:rRNA from 1 species